rnacentral:rRNA from 1 species
GAGUUGCCUGUCAAAAGGCUUAUGUACCUUCUGGUACGUUCACUGUGAACAAAUCAGGACGCUUAGUGUAUGGUUACAUGAAUGACUCAGCGCAGUAUGAUAUCUUUACCUUCUGGUAAGAUCAAUGAGAGCCACCGGGGGUAGAUCUAUUUCAUGGCGAGCGGUGGAAUGCUCUGACCCAUGAGAGAGAAACGAAGGCGAAGGCAUCUACCUAGAGGGUUUCUGUCGAUCAAGGGCGAGAGUAGGAGUAUCCAACCGGAUUAGAGACCCGGGUAGUUCCUACCUUAAACGAUGCCGACAGGGGCUUGUCCAUUUCUUUGGGCAGGACCUUAGGAGAAAUCAUAGUUCUUGGGCUCUGGGGGAACUACGACCGCAAGGCUGAAACUUGAAGGAAUUGACGGAAGGGCACACCAGGGGUGGAGCUUGUGGCUUAAUUUGAAUCAACACGGGGAAACUUACCAGGACCAGUUGUUUUUUAUGACUGACAGCCUUCCGGGCUUUCAGGAUUGGACUUUUGGUGGUGCAU